AUACCUUUCUCGGCCUUUUGGCUAAGAUCAAGUGUAGUAUCUGUUCUUAUCAGUUUAAUAUCUGAUAUGUGGGCUAUAUGUCCACUUUGAUAUUAAAUUUAUUUUUUGUGGGGGAGGGCUCACCAUAGUGGCUUGCCGCUAGAGCCCUCAGGCGUCUCUUGGGCGUUGCACUACUGCCCUAGCCAGGCGCAUCCCAA
rnacentral:snRNA from 1 species